GAUGAACGCUGACAGAAUGCUUAACACAUGCAAGUCUACUUGAAUUUGGGUUUUUUAACUUCGAUUUGGGUGGCGGACGGGUGAGUAACGCGUAAAGAACUUGCCUCACAGCUAGGGACAACAUUUGGAAACGAAUGCUAAUACCUGAUAUUAUGAUUAUAGGGCAUCCUAGAAUUAUGAAAGCUAUAUGCGCUGUGAGAGAGCUUUGCGUCCCAUUAGCUAGUUGGAGAGGUAACGGCUCACCAAGGCGAUGAUGGGUAGCCGGCCUGAGAGGGUGAACGGCCACAAGGGGACUGAGACACGGCCCUUACUCCUACGGGAGGCAGCAGUGGGGAAUAUUGGACAAUGGACCGAGAGUCUGAUCCAGCAAUUCUGUGUGCACGAUGACGUUUUUCGGAAUGUAAAGUGCUUUCAGUUGGGAAGAAAAAAAUGACGGUACCAACAGAAGAAGUGACGGCUAAAUACGUGCCAGCAGCCGCGGUAAUACGUAUGUCACGAGCGUUAUCCGGAUUUAUUGGGCGUAAAGCGCGUCUAGGUGGUUAUGUAAGUCUGAUGUGAAAAUGCAGGGCUCAACUCUGUAUUGCGUUGGAAACUGUGUAACUAGAGUACUGGAGAGGUAAGCGGAACUACAAGUGUAGAGGUGAAAUUCGUAGAUAUUUGUAGGAAUGCCGAUGGGGAAGCCAGCUUACUGGACAGAUACUGACGCUGAAGCGCGAAAGCGUGGGUAGCAAACAGG
rnacentral:rRNA from 1 species